rnacentral:rRNA from 1 species
UACGGAGGGGGCUAGCGUUGUUCGGAAUUACUGGGCGUAAAGCGCGCGUAGGCGGCUUUUGUAAGUUAGAGGUGAAAGCCCGGAGCUCAACUCCGGAACUGCCCUUAAGACUGCAUCGCUAGAAUUGUGGAGAGGUGAGUGGAAUUCCGAGUGUAGAGGUGAAAUUCGUAGAUAUUCGGAGGAACACCAGUGGCGAAGGCGACUUACUGGACGAUUGUUGACGCUGAGGUGCG